UACGGGGGGGGCAAGCGUUGUUCGGAAUUACUGGGCGUAAAGGGUUUGUAGGUGGCCUGCUAAGUCAGACGUGAAAUCCCUCAGCUUAACUGGGGAACUGCGUCUGAGACUGGUAGGCUCGAGGACAGGAGAGGAACGCGGAAUUCCAGGUGUAGCGGUGAAAUGCGUAGAUAUCUGGAGGAACACCGGUGGCGAAGGCGGCGUUCUGGACCAACACUGACGCUGAGUGAGCGAAAGCUAGGGGAGCAAACAGG
rnacentral:rRNA from 1 species